rnacentral:rRNA from 1 species
AGUGAACGCUGGCGGUAGGCCUAACACAUGCAAGUCGAACGGCAGCACAGUAAGAGCUUGCUCUUACGGGUGGCGAGUGGCGGACGGGUGAGGAAUACAUCGGAAUCUACUUUUUCGUGGGGGAUAACGUAGGGAAACUUACGCUAAUACCGCAUACGACCUACGGGUGAAAGCAGGGGAUCUUCGGACCUUGCGCGAUUGAAUGAGCCGAUGUCGGAUUAGCUAGUUGGCGGGGUAAAGGCCCACCAAGGCGACGAUCGGUAGCUGGUCUGAGAGGAUGAUCGGCCACACUGGAAGUGGGACACGGACCAGACUCCUACGGGAGGCAGCAGUGGGGAAUAUUGGACAAUGGGCGCAAGCCUGAUCCAGCCAUACCGCGUGGGUGAAGAAGGCCUUCGGGUUGUAAAGCCCUUUUGUUGGGAAAGAAAAGCAGCAGGUUAAUACCCCGCUGUUCUGACGGUACCCAAAGAAUAAGCACCGGCUAACUUCGUG